CUUGUUGCUGUACAUAUCUAGUGGACCUUGAUCUAGUGAACUGUGGAUAGGCUCACACCUUCCAGGAGGCAUCAUAUUCUGAACCAUAUCCAUACGGUCAUCAUAGGAAUGUCUAGCCCAUUCUACAGGACGAGAGCUGUCUAUGGGGAGGAACUUUCUGUGAUCUCUGAAAAAUAAUGUCCGAUCACUGCUGUAUUGACUGUCAGAUAAACUGCUGUAGUGUGGCAUUGGAACAAGGACAUUUUCCAGUACCAAAGGUUGGGACUGUGCAAACAGGAUCCGGAACUCCUCAUCAAAAGUAGUCACAAGCUGUCCAAGGAAGAGUUUCCACUCAGGACUGCCCUGCAGUCUGUCAGCAAGAAGCGAUCCAUCAUCUGACCCUUGAAGGUCUUCCCAGAGCGACAGUGAUAGGUGACCCCUGACACAGUUCUGACACGCAUGAACUGCAAGAUAAAAACAUGUUCUCAUUAGAUGUUCUCCAAAAAACACUGAAAUAAGUGAGAAGCUGUUCAGAAAUACCUCAAAGAAGUUAAAGCUAAAUUUGGAGUGGAUCACAGACCAACACUACCCCCACCUUGGGUCUGGUCUGCGAGGGACCACUGCUGAUGAACAACUCUGCACCCUCCAUAAUAACAAACAGGACAGAUUUCAAGUUAUCACCUUGGACCUUAGUGGAGAAGCUGACCCUGUAUAGUCGUGCGAUGACCAACCAACGCUCAGUAUAGCUUGGAUGGGCUGUUGAUGUUAGCAUUACGUAGCAUGCGGUGGGCUUGCUAAACACCCACAUGGCAAUCAGCUGUUGGCGAUCAAGCGUUCAUUGCCUCUAAUGGGAACAUCAGCAUCAGUAGAACACGCCUGACUGUACUCCACCAGUCAUACAAAGAGAAUGAUCUAAUGCCUCCCAUCAAAAAGAGAGCUGGCCCAAGCAAGCACAGGAUGCACCUGAAGCAUGAGGACUUGCAGCGAGUUGUGAACUUCCUCAACAACUACGCAGAGGAUAAUGUAAUAGUAUUACCAGGACACAACACUUAGGUGGAAAGCUGCUGCCAUCCCAUGUGACAAAAGCAGGGGUGUGGCUUCUCUAAAGGAAUUGAUGACAACACUUGAGGUACGUGUAGUUGGGCUGUCUUCCUUCAGGUAUCUGCAGAGAAAAUUGCUGCCCCACAUCUCAAGCACUAAGCCCAGGACAGACCUGUGCUGGCAGUGCCAGAGGAACAACUAUCAGGUCUGCCAAUCUGCCAAAAGCUGUUACAGUUUUUCUCAGUCGCUUUGGUGCAAUUCUUGAUACUACUUGUACAAAUUCCAAAUCAUCUAGUCACCUGUGCAUAUCAUUAAAGCAAUUUCUUAUUCCUUUGAACAAAUUGCAAUUGAUAAUGUACCAGUGUCAGAUUUUUUCCACAUGAUCAAUUACUCAUGUCAUGUUGAUCAAAAUAUAGUAGAUGGUUCUCUGUUGAAUAGUGUUACCCCUCAAAACAUCUAGGCAUUAGUUCCUUGCAUAAGCCAUUACAUGCAAAAUUGUUGAACUAUUUGUCAUAAACUGUCAAGCAUAGUUUUACACAUUUCUAUUAUUACCUUUUGUACAAAGACCUGAAUUGAUGAAUCGUGCAGGUGAAAUUGACCCUCACGCAUGAACGAAUGUAAAGUGUUAGUUCAACCAACAAUCAACCAGUUGUCUGAAUUGCUCAAAGGUGCAUCCCAUGAAGAAUCAAUUAGCAAGCAUAUAUAGACAGACCACAACACAGAGUUGCAAUUUUCCAAUAAUGGAUGGACCAGGAAACGAACAGGGUCAACAGCCAAGAGGAGGAAGAAGAGGAGCAAGGAUGC